CUGCGGAGGGAUCAUUACAAGAACGCCCGGGCUACGGCCUGGUUAUUCAUAACCCUUUGUUGUCCGACUCUGUUGCCUCCGGGGCGACCCUGCCUUCGGGCGGGGGCUCCGGGUGGACACUUCAAACUCUUGCGUAACUUUGCAGUCUGAGUAAACUUAAUUAAUAAAUUAAAACUUUUAACAACGGAUCUCUUGGUUCUGGCAUCGAUGAAGAACGCAGCGAAAUGCGAUAAGUAAUGUGAAUUGCAGAAUUCAGUGAAUCAUCGAAUCUUUGAACGCACAUUGCGCCCCCUGGUAUUCCGGGGGGCAUGCCUGUUCGAGCGUCAUUUCACCACUCAAGCCUCGCUUGGUAUUGGGCAACGCGGUCCGCCGCGUGCCUCAAAUCGUCCGGCUGGGUCUUCUGUCCCCUAAGCGUUGUGGAAACUAUUCGCUAAAGGGUGUUCGGGAGGCUACGCCGUAAAACAACCCCAUUUCUAAGGUUGACCUCGGAUCAGGUAGGGAUACCCGCUGAACUUAAGCAUAUCAAUAAGCGGAGGAAAAGAAACCAACAGGGAUUGCUCUAGUAACGGCGAGUGAAGCAGCAAUAGCUCAAUUUGAAAUCUGGCGUCUUCGACGUCCGAGUUGUAAUUUGUAGAGGAUGCUUCUGAGUGGCCACCGACCUAAGUUCCUUGGAACAGGACGUCAUAGAGGGUGAGAAUCCCGUAUGCGGUCGGAAAGGCGCUCUAUACGUAGCUCCU
rnacentral:rRNA from 1 species